GGUGAUGUGGCCGAGUUGGUUAAGGCGUCAGAUUCAAGCCAGUCUUUCUAGGAAGAACCUCCUGAUGCGGAAACGCGCAUGGGUUCGAAUCCCAUCGUCACCA
rnacentral:tRNA from 1 species